GUGUUGUAUGAAAGGAGAAAAGGUUACCACACUCCUUGACAAGGAUGGAAGAGCCCCUCGGGCAUGACAAGACAUACAUGGUUAAGACAUUGCCACCUAUUUUGUGGCAUCUAACCAUCAUUUUUU
ensembl:snRNA